rnacentral:rRNA from 1 species
UACGAAGGGAGCUAGCGUUGUUCGGAAUUACUGGGCGUAAAGCGCACGUAGGCGGCUUUGUAAGUUAGAGGUGAUAGCCUGGAGCUCAACUCCAGAAUUGCCUUUAAGACUGCAUCGCUUGAAUCCAGGAGAGGUGAGUGGAAUUCCGGGUGUAGAGGUGAAAUUCGUAGAUAUUCGGAAGAACACCAGUGGCGAAGGCGUCUCACUGGACUGGUAUUGACGCUGAGGUGCGAAAGCGUGGGGAGCAAACAGGAUUAGAUACCUGGUAGUCA